rnacentral:rRNA from 1 species
UAAUGUGAAUUGCAGAAUUCAGUGAAUCAUCGAAUCUUUGAACGCACAUUGCGCCCUCUGGUAUUCCGGGGGGCAUGCCUGUUCGAGCGUCAUA